UACGUAGGGAGCAAGCGUUGUCCGGAAUCAUUGGGCGUAAAGCGCGUGUAGGCGGCCCGAAAAGUCUGGUGUGAAAACUUGAGGCUCAACCUCAAGCUGUCGCUGGAUACUGUCGGGCUUGAAUCCGGAAGAGGAGUGUGGAAUUCCUGGUGUAGCGGUGGAAUGCGCAGAUAUCAGGAGGAACACCAAUGGCGAAGGCAGCACUCUGGUACGUGAUUGACGCUGAGGUGCGAAAGCGUGGGGAGCGAACAGG
rnacentral:rRNA from 1 species